rnacentral:lncRNA from 1 species
CCCAACAAAUUUUAUAAACAGUCCUUUUUUACAGUCCAAAACCUAAAACUAAAUACAAUACCCAAUCCCCAAAUUAACACAAGGCCCAAAACUACAUUGGCCCAAAUGGCCCAGAAAUUUUUGGAAAGGAAACCCUAACCAGAUCCACCUUGCGCCGCAGCCCUCACUAGCAGCCUGGCCACUCCAGGCCUCCGUACGCCCCAACGUCCAGCAGCCACGCCACAGCCCUCAUACGCCAGCACAGUCUCCGUACGACGCCAGCGCGCACCUGUACCUGCAAAGAAAUGGGCAAAACGACAACAGCAACAAUGGCCAAUACAAAAAAAGAACAGAAUUGAAUUCUUUUAUUUUUCUUUUUGAACAUUCGGCUAUAAAGCCGAUGAUUUGAUAUUGUAUAGGGGUUCCCCCCUUUUUACAAACGGACGCACUCCAUUUUGCAUACUGAAUACAAAAAUCAAAACUUUAAAAAAGGUGAUUAUUCGGCCUUUGUUUUUCUUUUUUUCUAUCAUCGUUUUCCCCUUCUUUCCUUAUUUUUUUUUGGUUUCACAUACUGUUCUUUCGAGUAUAAAGAGGGUAAAAGAAAGCAAAGGAGUUUACUUGGAUGAAUGAACCGCCGGAAUCCCCAUCUCCUUUGUUUUAAUCGAAGUCGAGAUUUGAGGUCUGAAAUCGGGGGUCCUCAUGGCAUGGAUCCAAGCGGGGUUAAUGGGCGAACAAGUCUCCCUCCGUCGAUCGUCGCUCGGCGGUCCAAUGGCAGCUAGGGCCUCUUGAGAUUCGAACUAAAGAGGGAUUUAGGGUUUGGGUAAAGCAAAAAGAAAGAAAUGAGGGUUCAGCCAAAUAGGAGGUUCGGUUAGGGGAUUUAAGGGAUUAAAAACGACACCGUUUGGACCAAUUAUGAUGGUCUCAAACUGCACCGUUUUGAAACCAUGCCUGAUAACCCGAUUCAGCGCCCUCAUGAUCCGCGCGUUCGUCGUAGUAGAGGGGAAUUUUCGCUUCUAGUCCCUCUUUUUAUAUUAGCCUCUGAUUGAGUUCGUUCGAGACUCCCUGAGCUUUUUAACUUGGACUUAUAGUUUGCACUUAUUUGCAAUCGGAUCCGUGCCUAAACGCAGCACUUUGGGGAUCUGGUAUAUUGCCAGUUCUAGUCCCUAUGUAUUUGUGUGUGUUAAGCUUCAGUCCUUCUUCUAACUUCAGUAACUUAUUUUAUUUAUUAAUUGUCCUUUUAAUUUUAUUUUCGUUUCGAUUGAGUUUCUUGUAUUUAUUUUUUUCAGCAUUUGUUUUCUUUUGAAACCCUUUUAUUUGUGAAAUUUUACUUCUUAUUCACCAUUUAAUAGAUUAUCUUAGAGUAUUUUGUUAAGUUUUGCAUAGUUUUUAUUUGUUAGUCACACUUUCAUUUAUAUAUGUACAUAUAUCCUUAUGUGUGACCAUAUAUAUCUAUUUAUUUAUUUUCCUUUAAACUUGUUUGUUUGAAAUGUUCUUUUAUAUAUAUAUAUAUAUACUUUAUAAUAAAGUCAAUUUCAUGCAUAUCAUCAAUAUUAUAUUAUUUUAUACAUAUAUUUGCUUUUAGAGUUAUCCUCAUCUCUUAUCAUAUAAUUUCACGUGGUGCACAUAAAGCUAUUAUUAUAUGUAUAUAUAUAUAUGUUUGUUGACCUAUAUAGAUAUAUAUUAUUAUCUCUAUGUUUUCUAAAAUGUACUUUCCUUUAAAUCUAUAUAUAUAUCUAUAUCUAUAUAUAUUAACAUUUAUUAUUUUAACAGUUUUUUCUUUUCUAUAUAUGAAACAAAUUCGGAAAUUUCAUUGUUUUUUAUUGAUUAUAAAGCUAUUAUUGAUUAAGUAUAUCUGUUUAUUAUGUUGCUUUUGUGUACAUAUAGUAAUCUCAAAUGUUUUGAUGCAAGGAUGUGUAUAGUUUUUAGAUUAUUUUUUAAAAAAAACAAAAAAAAAUUUAUAUGUUUUUUAUUAUUAAUCUCCUGUUUUUUAUAUAUAAAUAUAUAUAUGUAUGUUUUAUAAAUCUAUUUUGUGCAUUAUAUCUCAUUGCGUAUUUUAUUAUCUUUUCAUAUUAUAUGUUAUCAUGUGCUUUGUCAAUUUUCGAAUAAAUUCGUUUUUAAAAUGUUUUGCACAUGACUUGAUUCAAAAUUGUAUUUCAUAAUAUCUAUUUCAAUAAUUAUAUAUUCUUGUUUUUAUGCAAAUUUGUCAACUCAUACAUUAUGUGUUUUAAAAAUACUCAUUUUAUAUAUAUAUAUAUAUAUAUAUAUUAAUGAUUGCAUGUGUAUAUUAAGCUUGUCAUUGUUUUACAAUAAUCUUAUACCAUGUUGCUUCUUUGGAUUGCAUUUUAUUUUAUGCCUCUAAUAAUUUUAUUAUGUCAUGUAUGCCGUCGUUGCAUUUUAUUUAUUCAUUGUUGCCAUGUUAAUUGUUCUCCAUGCAUAAUUGAGACUGAGUCAUAUUUUCAGGCUAAUUAUAUUUAAUUGCUCAUUUUCUUGGUUGAUUGAUAUUCUCAUUCAUAAAGUAUGGUAUCUCAUACGCGCCUAUUAUCCCAUCUCAUCGUUUUCAUUUGGUUUUUCGAAAUGUGGUUUUAUAAAACCCAAUUUCUACGAUUAAUGUCACUUUACUUCAAAUCGAAUUAAUACGUUUUAAGUAUUCAUUCAAAAAUUCUUCAAAACGAAGAUGAGAUUCGAUGUUUUGUGAUUCGAGGAAUCGUGCCCUAACGUGUUGGGUUGCAAUUUCGUAUUUGCUCAAAAUAAUCGAAUAUCACUUCAAAAUUUCACUCAUGUCUUUUAAAAUUCUUCAAAACGAAGACGAGAUUCGAUAUUUAGCAAUUCGUGGAAUUGUGCCCUAACGUGUUGGUUUGCAAUUUUACGUCUGCUUAAAAUAAUCGAAUACCCCUUCAAAAUUCCACUCAUAUCUUCUAAAAAUUAUUUAAAACGAAGGUAACAUUUGGCGUUUGACAAUUCGAGAAUCAUGCCCUAUUGUGCUGGGUUAUGAUUUCUCGUUUGCUCAAAACAAUCGAAUAUUUCUUUAGGUUUUCAUUCAUGUUUAUUAAAAACCUUUCAAAACCAAGGAUGUUCGAUGUUUGGUGAUUUGAGAAUCGUGCCCUAUCGCGCUAGGUUGCGCUUUUUCAUUUGUUCUAAACAAUCGAAGAUCCCUUCGAAGUUUCAUUCACGUUUUCUAAAAACCCUUUAAAACGAAAGAAGUGUUCGAUGUUUGGGCAUUUCAGGGAAUAGUGCCCUAUCGUGCUGGGUUUCAAUCUCCCCUCUGUCCGAAAUAAUCGAAUAUCUCUCCGGGAUUUCACUCGUAUUUUCCAAAGUGAGGCAAUGAUCAAUGUUUGGGAAUCCGAAAAAUCGUGCCCUAGUGUGCUGGUUUUCGAUUUUUCGUUGGACUAAAUAGUUGAGCAUCUUUUCGUGAUUUUCAAAUUAUGAAUUUUCGGACGUCGAAACAAAAAUAUUUUUGACAAUCAACUCAGGUUAUUCAACUUUAUUAAAAAGAGCCACAUUUCAAAAACAUUUUUAGACAUAAAGACAGUAUUUAAUUGAUUUGGUGCCAAUUUUGGGCGUAGUGAGGAUGCUAAUCAUUUCUCAUGCGUAACCGACUCCCGAGCCCGUUUUCUAAAAUUUUCGUAGACCAGAGUCGUUGUAUUAGUAAAUCGCAAAUGUUUUAUUAAACCAAAUUCUUAGGUGGUCCGAUCACACCCAAAACAAAAAGAUCGGUGGUGACUCCAUAUUUCUAUUUUCCAAAAAGUCGAUUUCUCCCCUUUUUUAAAAUUUAAAAAUUUUAAAUCGAGGGAUGGUUUCGACACUAUUCAUUUUAAGUUGUAUUUUUAAAUUAUUUUGUGUAUUAAUUAUUUUAGAUUGUAUUAUACAAUUCCCUUUAAAUUGUUUUUUUAUAAUAUCUCUUUUUUAAUUUAUUUUUUUAUGUAUUACUUAUUUAAUAUUGUUUCGUUAUUUAUUUUAAAUGGCUUUAUGUUAUUUAUUUCAUUCUUCUGAUUAUUAUUGAUGGUAUCCGAAUAAUAUGUGUUGUGUGGUUUUUGCCAUUGAGUAUUAUAAUUCGUUCAUUCAUAUUUUCAUAUUACUGCCAUUCGCUUGUAUAAUAUUGUAUUCGUAUUGUAUUAUUCCAUGCUCUAUGUUAUAUCUUUAUUUUAUCUAGUUUAAAUCAUAUCGUACAUUAAACCCCAACAUAUUUAUCCGACUUAGAUCGCUUUAUUCUAUUUCAAACAAAAAAAAAUGUACGUUGUUAAAUACCAUACUCGUUAUUUUUUCAAAAAGAAGAUUUCAAAAUAAGGUAAUGUUUCUCGCUUUGGAACAUCGAGGAAUUGUGCCCUAACCUAUGGGGUUUCGAUUUUCUCGUUGAUUCUAAAUAGCCAAAUAUCCUUUAGAGUUCUAAAAUACACGGAUUUCCAAUUAAAAUUAAAGACAAACUUGCGCUCGGGAGUUCAUGGUAUCGUGUCCUAACUUACGGGAUGUGAUACUCCGAUAUCUCGAGACGAGGAAAUCUUUAGCAAUCAUUUUGAACUAAUUCAAGCAUUUUUUAAAAUCGACGUUAAUAAAAAAGGAUUGUAUUUUAAAUCCAUUCUCGAUUUUCAACUUUCAACUUUAGGACGAUAACUAAUCAAUUUGGUACCAAUUUUGGGCGUGGCGAGAGUGCUAAUCCUUCCUCGCAUGUAACCGACUUCCGAACCCGUUCUCUCGAGCUUCGUGGACCAAAAACACCGUUUUAGUUAACUAAAACGUUUUAUAAAAAAAAAAGUGAUCCGAUUACACUUAACAAAGAUCGAUGGAGACUCCCGUUUUAAUUUUCACUUUCAAACAAAGUCGAUUCCCGUUUUCAAGAAAUUGAUUUCGACAAUCCAAAUAAACCAUUUUGUGAAAUUAAAGAUCGCAUAUUGAAAUUCAUCAUUUAAAACCAUGUCACGUAAAUUUUUAAAGCAUUUCGAGGUGUUUAAGGCCUUCGAUUUUAUUGUAUAAACAUCGGCACUUAAUUGCAAAGGUUUCGAAACAUGCCCCUUUCACUCACCAGCCACGUCGAGACAACAUGAUUUUUCACAUCUCGACGUCGGGUGCUCGUCACAAUGUCAAUAAGGGCUCAUCACAAUGACGUAUUGCAAUAUUGCAUAAAAAUUGCAGCAUUUGCAUAUGACACUUUGACAUUCAAACACAUACCAUUUCAUUAUUUCAUGUCAUUUUCCCUACUCUAACAUGCCAUAUAGCAUGCUUAAAUUAUAUAAAUCAUGCUCAAACACACAAGAUCAUACAUUAACAUGCUUUGGCAUCAAAAUCAAUCACCCAUGCUAACAUGCUUUUCUAAAGUCUCAAUUUAAUUUACUCAACAUACCAAAUUUGCAUAUAAGGCAAUUUAAAGUGCAAAAAAUAUACAUACCUUGCCAUUUGGUCAUUUUGCGUCUGACCAAGCAUUUAACGCAUCAUUUAAACAAUUUUAACCACAAAUCACUAUGGCACAAGCAUGCUAUUCUACAUAUAGUCUAAGCAAUCAUCAAGCAUACUUCAUGCAAUCAUCCAAGCAAUAAAAACAUCCACAAAAUAGUUUUAAAAGUCCUUAAAUAGUCUAUGGAAAGUCCACUUGCACAACCAAGAUGCCUUUGCCUUUGGAUCUCAAGCUUGCCCACUUCCCCCCUCCACACAAGCUAUUUCUCUGCCAAAAAAAAAAAAAACAAACAAACAAGGGAGUGUGAGCUUAACCAAGCUUAGUGAGUGUUGAAGAUGCCACAACAAAUCGAAGAAAACAAGAGUUAAAAACAAGCAUGCUAAACACAAUUAUCAUAUAGAAUCAUCAAAAUCAUAUCAUAUGGAUACAUUGAGAACUUGUGAACAUGAAAAUAUUGAAAAAAUAGCUUUCAUUGGGUACUCGGAUCUCCUUCACACCAUGACUCAAAAGAGCCUACAUGUCCCAAGUAAGUGUAGCAUAAAGCUAACACUAUCCAACACACCAACAUAUCCCAAUGAAUGGAGCAAUGCUCUACAUUCUCUUAUCCCUCCAAACAUGUCCCAAUAACAAAGCAUAUAAAUGAGUACUCAAAUCCUAUAACAUGCCAACUAUAUCCAAUGCUUUCAAAGGUUCACAAGGCCAAUAUAGCCAUCUCACACAUUCAUUUUCUAGUUUAUGCACACUUUCACAUAUCAUACUUUACCAUGAUCAAACACUUAUCUCAUGUUCUCAUAAUGCACUUCAAGUGCUAACACUUUACUCAUUGAGCCAAUUACACUUUCAUAUCAAAGGUAUGCUUAUAAAACCAGCUGCCCACAAGUCAUAUCCACAUAUAUUCAACAUAUAUAAUUACAUCAUACACUUAAGCAUUUCACAACACAAGUAAGCUUGUUUGCAAAUCAAGUACCCUAUCGUUUCUAUAGAAAGUUUGCUGAAAGAGCAAAUUUUGAUUCAAAUUCUCAAAUAUCUUUCAUUUACAUUGUCAACCUUUAUUUAGGAUAUUUGCGAUAUCCCUCAAGCAUAAGAAACUUAAAAGCUAUGUAUUUGCAUUAAUACUUACAUUAAUGACCAAAUACAUGCCUCUAAAUCUAAUCCUAAAUUCAUGUAAAAUUUCAAAAUUCACGUUUUAAUAAACUAAAUGCAUGUAUCUAAUGCACGUACAUUCGUUCAUGCAUUAAUUCAUUUACUAAAUGAGCUCAAAAGUCUGUUAAGAAUCUUCUAACCAAAUUAGGCUUUUCAUGUUACAACUCAUUAGGCUUUCAAAGUCCAAAAUAUGUCUAGCUUCAUCCUCUUCAAUUUAGACCAAAGUAGCUAGCAAUUCGAUAAAUGCUCUUGCAUGAAAAGUGCUAGUGCAUUGGAGUAACAAUUUUCCGAAAAAAGCAACCUAGUAAACUUGGUUUGAUCUGCAGCAGAAGUAUUCGCAUUUUCAUCCUUGAGAACAAUCAAUGGUUUGCAGGGGUUGUAGUUGAUACAUGCCCACGCUAAAGAAACUUAGGCUGAUGAUCCAAUUCGAGUAUUGUAUUUCAUUUUAUUCCAAUUAUGUUAUGACAUUAUUCAAAACUCUUUUUCUCCUCUUUCUCCCAUUCUAUGGUUUCUUCUUCUUUCCGGCAUGGUUCAGCAUCAAAUUCCUAAAAGAAAUUUAUGAUUAAGAGCCUAAUAAAUUGAUUAUGCCCCUGAUAUCUUAAAGAGUUUUGUACCUAAUUAAAAAUGUUUAUUAGGCAACAUAAAUUGACAUCAUCACAAAUUUGGUAAUUCAGAAAACUAAAAUGAUGAAAUAACUUUUCAAUUUUCAUAAACUUUCCUGAUGGCCAAACAUCCACAAUUUUUUAUAUAUUUUUUUAUAUACAUAUAAGUUAGCCCAUUAAAUGAAUGGUAUUAAAAGAUGACAAAAACCAAACAUGGGGAUAUUAAUGACGAGACCACGAGGCUCACGUUUUCAGUUGUGUGUUUGUGUUUUUUUCGGUUAAUAUAUCAUUAAAUAAUUUUAAUGUUUAAUUUUAUACGAUUUUUUUAUUAUAUUUUAAUAUUUAAGUUUGACUUUAAUAUUUUUAAAUAUUUAAUAUAUAUGUUUUAGUAAAAAAUAAAAUCAUUUAAUUGGAUAAAAAUAUUCAAGUACUAAAUUGAAUAUUAAAAUUAAACUCAGCUGCUUAAUUGAGACAAAAAAAAAUAACCUCAAGCUUCAAAAUGUAAAAUUUUAAAUAUCAAUUUAAAUAUUGAAGCUUAACUCAAAUAUCAAAUUUAAAUUCAAAUUAAAAAAUAAUAAAAAUAUAAAGUCUACUAUAUGAAUUAUUAUGACUUAAAAUUUACAUUAAUACUUUACACUUUAAAUAUAAUCAUGUCAUGAAAAUAGUUAAAAAAUAAUAAAUAUAUAACACAAAUAUAUGAAUGGUUUAAUUUUUCCCUUAGUCCUUGUACUCUUUAGAUUUUUAAAAUUAAGUCGCUCUACUUUUAGUUCUAGAAUUUUAGUCACCUAAUUUAAAAAUUAAAGAUCUGAUUGAUAAAUUAUGAAUUAAUUUCUGUUAAAUUUGAAGGUGUUGUCAAUAAAAUUUUAAAUUUUAAAGCAAACUUUUAAAUAUUAAAAUGCAAAAAAUUUAGGUUUAAAAAAAUUUCAUUAAUAUAAUUAUCAAUUGAAUUUUAGUUCUCAAAUUUAAUAAGUAAAAGACUAAAUUUUUAAAAUUAAAAAUAAAUAAUUAACUAAAAUUAUAAAUUUAAGGUUAAGAGCAAGGGACCGACUACCAUCCCUCCACAAUGCUAUAAAAUGUUCCAUCACAAGGGUUAAGAAAGCAACAAUAGGAUGCUUGUUAUAAAGGAUUCUUCACCCAUUUUAUAUAAAAUUUGCCAUAGUUAGAGGGGAAAAAAAUUAUAAAGGCUUAAAUUUAUUAAAGGUGACUUUUUAUAUAUAAUUAUUAAUAGGACUAAAUUGUUUGAUAUUGAAGACUCGAUGUCUAAUCCGUCGUCUGACUAGUCAAGAUUUAAUUAUUCACCUCUUUAAGCAUUUGAUUAGUCAAGACAUUAGGACAGCUUAGUUGAUUUUAUUUGUUGACUUAUUUGAUUUGGACUUUUUCAUUCUAUUGUUUUAUAGGCAAAUGAACUUUCAAGACAUGUUUUAUUUUCCCUCAUUUUCAUAAUGAACAGGUCGAGAUCUACUUAUCUCCUUUAUUUUAAGGAGAUUAAUCUUAUUUUAUUUGGGAUAAGACUAAAGAUUAUUUAUUUAGGGUUUUAUGUUCCAUAAAUUUGUGUUUAUUUUAGAUUGUGUAAUGCCUCAAUUUUUUUUUGAAUUUUGAGUGUUAAAUUGUAUAAAGUAAAUUGAUUUGGUUUAUAGGUUAAAUGUUUUGGAUAUAUGCUUGAGGUUUUGUGUUCAAUUCCUUUCUUUCGAAAAUUUUUAUUAUUUUUUCCUCAAUAUCUAGUUUGACACAUCUGGUUUAUGUUUAAUUUUUGCAUGUUUAUUAAUAAGAAUGAGUUUAUUGGUUUAGUGAUAAAACCUUAAUUUUUUUCUUUAAUAAGAUGAAGUUAAUAACUAAUCAGAUUAAUUGGGAUAUAAUCAGAUAUUAUUUUGUUAAAGUUUUUGAGAAUUAUCUCCUAAAAAUCCUCCUAGUGUCGUCCCCCUCACCCCCUCACUCUCCACCUUUUUGUUUGUUUCCUCUUCACUUUUGUUGCUGUAACCUCCUCUUUGUCGAAUUUUCUCUGCUUUCUCCUUCUUUCUUUUUCUUUUUUCUUCAUUUUUUCAUUGUUUACAUAAUUUUACGAUUAACGCUCUCUUCUUUUCCUCAUUUGUUGUCCCUGCUUAUGUGUUGCUGCUGUCUAGAUUUUGAUUCUUCCUAGUGUCAUCGGUAACCUUCUGGUUUUGGUGUUAGCCGUGUGUGAUCUGAAGUUUGGCGUAGUAUCUUAAUUUUUUUAAGUAAGUGCAAUCCGUUUGUGUUUUUUUAAGAAGGUUGUUUUCGGUUUUAAUUGAAAGAUUUGUUGGUUGAGGGUGGCUAAUUAGUGAUGGUCUAAUUAUUUGUAAUUCUGUUAGGUGAGGAUUGUGAGGAACACGCCCCUCUUGCAAAUUAAGUGCCUUGGAAACCACCGCUUCUAAGGGUAAGUAGCCGAAUGCCCAAGUUUAGGGGCUGGUUUGCGCUAAUAUUUUUGCAAGGGUCGAAUGUCUUAUUGGUCUUGGCCGAAUGCUCUAGGGAGCAACGGCCAAAUUUCUAUGCGGGUGAUUGCUUACUGGUUGAGUUUUGGAUGUUGUGUGCAGAACUCGGAUUGAUGCUGUUGUGUUGACAUCCCGAAAACAAUCUAGUGUGUCUAACUUGAAAACUUGUAAAUUCAUGCAAAACCGAAAGUGGGCAGUCACGACACAUGGGCGUGUACCUAGCCGUGUGGACCAUACGAGUGUGUGUCCUAGGAGUGUGAGCUAGACGGAUUGAUUAAGUAAGGUAUGUGGGCCACAAUGGCAUAUGAGCUUAUUUCAAAUAAUUUUUAGGGUCGUGUUUUGAGUCGAAUAAGUGAGUUUAAUAGUAUGCUAAAAUCUAUUAUGUAAACUACCAUAUGUAAAUUUUCUGAAAGCAUGCGAAAUCAUGAAAAGUUGUGUACUUGAUUGUAUGUUUGUGUGUAUGAGCAUGUCUUUAAUAAGUAACUUCGAAUAAGUUAUAUGCAUGCCUCCAAUCUAUUAAUUUGUAUGCUCUAUUGGCAUGUUUCCGAUCUAUUAGUUUAAGCAUAUCCAAAUAUCUGUUAAGUUGGUCGCAUGUGGAUUAGGGUGGGUUAUGAAUAUGAUAUGAAGAAAGUUUCUGUAAAUUAUGUUCUAUGAUUCUGGUGGGAUACUUGCAAAAUCUGAUUUUGGCAGUUAAACUGUAUUACUUGUUUCUAGUGGCUUUCCUGCAUUAUAUCUUGCAGCUUGUCUGCAUAAUAUUUCAGUGGUGCAUGACCACUAAUUCUGUAUGACAUUGUAGUGCUAAGCAUGCCUUGUAUUUGAUUUUCUGCUUUGAUAUGUUAAACUCGUGUAUUAAUUGACUAUCUGUUAUGUUGGUGGGCCUUAACACACAUUGGGCUUUUAGCUCACCCUACUAUUUUAUCUUCUCAGGUAAUCCUCAAAAUUAGGAUUGCGCGGCGUUCAAGAACUCUAAUUCAAUUUCUUGUAAACAAAAUGAUUUUAAAGGUUUUUCUUUAUUUAUUUAAAAUAUGAAUUUUUGGACUGUCCGGUAAUUUUAUGGACUGGUUAGUAAAUAACGAAUGUUUUAGAGGACUCUCGCUUAACAACAAUAAUUUUUUUCAAAAUAAGAUAAUAAAACGAAUUUUGCAAAAUUAUUCAUACAUGAACAAAUGAUGUUUUAUAAAGAAAAUAAAUAAUUUAUCAGGUGGUCGGUAUAACCUUCAAGAUUCAGUCAUAACAUCUAGACCGAAUUUGAGGUGUUACAGAUUGUGCUGAUUGACUAGGCUACCAUACUAAGCUUAUAAUUAUACAGUUAGUUCGCAUAUGAAGAUGCACCUUUUGGAGAGAGUGUUGCGUUAAAUUGCAUGAUUAUUUCUUUGUUAUUUUUUAUUUGGAAUUUCGCACUCAAUAGGUAGACUUUUCUUGUGAGAGAUUAAAUCUUUAUAAGUGAGGUUGUAACAAGUUGUGAUUAACUAUUAAAAUUGAGACUACAAUUACUUAUUUAUAUAAUGGUAAAUUAGACUUUAACCAAUAAAUAAUUUGAACAAUUAUGUAACAAAACAAUUCACUAAACGCGAGUUUAAACACAAUUUUUUACUGACUAGUUUUCUCAAUUUAACCAAAUCAAAAUUCGUAAUUUUCAUUAAUUUCAUGCGUAUUAACUUCAUGCUAUGUGAAAAGUAGACAGACGGUGGAAGGCUGUACAGUACAUUAAUGCAAUCCACAUGUGUAUUUAAUGCCAUUAACUUGCAAAAAAAAAAAAAAAGGUUCACUUUCCUUAAAUACCUAACUACCACGUGAACAGCCAUGAAAGUUAGGAGAGUGUGGGGGAAAUAUAUUUUUAAAUAAAAUUUCCAAAAAUAAAUAUGUAAAUUUUAAUCAGUGUAUUAACAUAUUUACUUUGAAGUUAUCUUUUUAAAAUUAUUAAUUAGUCCUUAAAUGGGGACCUAUAGGCAUAAGGUAAGCUAACACAAAUGUUCUCAGAAAGAAAAAAGAUUGAAUUGUUGUGAUGAUAUAAUUGCAUAUUGUUAACUAUAUAUUCAUCAAGGAACCUUGAAUAAAUAAAAAUUGUCGGUAGCCAUGCAUUAAUUGGUACAUAAUUACAUAAACAUGAUAAAUGUUUACUUAUUAUAUAUAUCACAAUGGCAAGCAUUGGAUGAUGAUGAGUUUGAACAAACUGUUCAAUGAUGAAAAUUUGAUAGCCCAAACACAACAAUCAUACAUCUGAAACAGUGGAGGCAAAGAGUAGAAAUAAAUAGGAUCUCUCCACAAAUACACCAAAACCAAAACCAAAAGAAGAAGAAUAGAAGGGAAAAUCCACAAAUUAAGAACAUAAUUCAAAGUCAAAGGCAAUGAUUAAAUUAAUUACUAGUACCUUGACCUGAACCAUGGCUCACCAUUGAGAGCAAUGCUUUCUUCAUGUUUAUCAUUGACUGACAUCCUUUAAACACAUUCAGAUUUCUUGGUUUAACCCCAAAACACAAUGUCGAAGUCGGUGAUCCAAGCCCUUCAUUUUCAUGAUGAUGAUGAUCAUCAUCAUCCAUGCAGCUAUGAACUGGCGACCUCGAACAUGAAAAAUAGCUCAUCUGCCUAUGAAAUAGCUUUCGAUUAAUUGAAGAUUUAGGCAAUGGUGAAGAACCAGCAUCAUGCAACGACGAACAUGGUGAUAAAGACGAUGAAGAUGAUGUAGAAGAGCGUGAAGAAGAAGAAGAAGGGGAAGCCUGGGCUUUCCUAGCAGUGAUAAGCCUGGGAAAGAUAGAGUUCAAAAGGGUGGAUUUCAAGCCCUUUGUCUGCUUGGAUUUGGAGUUGAAUGAGGAAUAAUAUGAAGGAGGUGGAGUAAGAGGAGGAAUAGCAGUGUCACAUGAAGGAUGUUUUGGGGUUCCAGGGUGUGAUUCCCACAUGAAUGGAACAGCACCCGAAGCUCCGCCAUAGUAGACCCUGCAAGAAGAGUUAGCCAUUGAAGUUUCUUUAGACAUGAGCCUGCUGAAGAACUUGUCAUCUUGCUUGAUUUGGAGGCCUUUCUGAUGCUGAAGCUCCUCGCCCUUACUGUCACUCAACAUUUUGAUUUGGGGAACUGAUGGGUGGGUGUGUGCGUUGUCAGCUAAACUUAGUAGAUCUCUAAUUUCUAAAGAGGGCUCAAGAUCCGAAGUUGAAGCCUGGUAAAUGCUCAGAAUAGAAUAUUUCAAGGCCGAAUGACUUCUUUUAGUCUAGUCUAGUGGUAUAUAAUAUAAUUAAGGCUCAAGUCGUUUUUUUAUUUAUAUAAUUAUAUUUAAGUUUGGUCUCAUAGAGAGAUGGUAUCAAAAGGGAGAUAAAAAUCUUUGAAUGCACUAAAUCAUUUUCUAAAUGAUUUUAGACUAUCAAAAAUUUUCAAAUUUAUUAUCAUUAAAGAAAAGAAUCUAUACCAAAUAUUUUAAUGAAGUGGGGACUUGUUUUGUUUCAGUAAUUAAUAUAUUUGAGAUUUCAUUUUCCCUAUUGCAUGUCCUUCCUCGAAGGGUUAGUGUUUAAGAUUUUAUGUGCAUAUAAUAUAAUAUAACUUUGGUAAUUAUGAUAAUGGUGAUGAAAGCUAUUAUAUAUUGAGAAGAGCAGCUUUGGUGGAUGGAUUGAGUUGGGGGAAUUUAAUAGGGUAGCUAUAGCUUACUAAUAAUUUUUUGGAAGAAUCUGGUUCAUUGAUGAGGCAGAUCGAAGUGGGUUAAUGUGGACCGUCCAUUUUAAUCUGAAUGAGGAAAAACAGUUGAGCAGUGAGGAUAUAUUGGUUACGAGUUAGCAAAGCCCUAAUAAAUGAGAACUUGUCGUGGUCCAUGAUUUAAUCAAAAGCUGCUUGUUUCGGACAAAGAUAGAUUGCUUUAAAAACUGCAAAAGCUGCUUGUUUCGGACAAAGAUAGAUUGCUUUAAAAACUGAUUUAGGAUUGUUUAACUUUCCAAUUUAAUACGAUAAAGAAUAUGGUCAAAGUUAAAUGCAAGGUUAGACGUUGAAAUCCUAUCAAACUUCUUUCUUUUAGAGGAGGGUUGAUAUUAGUGUUUAACAAGGGGAGCUAAGGAGGAGACGAUGGUAAUGAUAAGGAGGUUGGUUCACUUGUUAUAGGCGAAGAGCUGGAGUAUUUAGGGGAGGAGGAAGGAGGAGAUGAAUUGGGGAGUGCUUAGGGUUUUAAAGGUCAAAAGAUCCUUCGUGGGUGGAGGUCCCCUUUCCUGAUAGCGACACAUCACCGACAACAUGGAUGGUGGCCAUUCGAUAUGAUCAGCCAGGUGGUAGGUUCAUUAUAUAUCUAUUGUCGUCAAGUAUAGUACUGUGUGAGCUUGCUUUAACAUUCCCUUUGUUGAGAUAGUACGAGGUUGUUAAGCCUCAGUAGUCCCUUAGUGGUCCCCUCUUGGGGAUAAUAGCAUACCACUAAAAGCGGGUUGCCUGAUAGAGGGUGGCUUUCCUAUAGAUAGUGUGAGGCAUGUGGGUGGUUGGUCAUUGGGUGACCAACUAGAUGGUAUUAGCAGGGGAGUCAUAUGCGGGUGUCUUUAAGGCCACUUCUCGUGCUACCACGUGUCCCAAUCUAGGUAGGGGUAUAAUUGUUGGAAAAAAUCCGAUUCAAAAAUAGUUUUCUUACACAAAAGAAAAAUAAAAUUUUGAAAAUCAACCCGAUUUGUGAUAUUUAGAGCAAUAAACUUUUUCCCAAAAUUACACCUGUGUUUUAGGUUAGACAGAUCCUUGGCUUUCCUGGCUUUCAACCAAAUGACCUUUACCACUAUUCUCGUACCAUAAAAUGAUUCGAGUGUGGGUUCAAACGAAUUGGAAUCAAACACAUAACCAAAAAUUAUUAUUUUUUACUUUCAGUGGGAAAACAAAAAUCUUUUUUUAAUUGAAACUGGUAAAAUUGUAAUUCCCAGAAAAUAGAAUUUAUUCUAGAAAAUAGAUUUUCACUACUUUAUGCAAAAUAAUAAUAUCUCAAAGUUAUACAUUUAGCCUUAUUGGUGCCAUCUAUUUAUAGGGAGAAAAAAUAGAACCCUUGUUGAAUUAGUAGAAAUCUAUUUCAAUAGAAAAAUAAAAUCCUAGUUCAAUUAGGAAAGGGAGGGGCGAUAAUCCUAGUUAAAUAUACUGGUAUUUUCCAUCUCACAUAUUAACAUGAGAGACUUUUAGGCCUCUCCCGUGUUGAAUCCAAUUAUAAGUACUUUUUGGACUUUUAACCCAACACUUUAUAAUUCAAUCCAAAUCCAAUACAUGCUUUUCUAUUUUCCAAAAUAAACAUCAUAAAUUAAUUUAAAUACAUAAAUAAAUUUAUCAAUUAAAUAAUUUUCUCAACCUGAUCCUAAUUUCGUUAGAAUCAUGUAAUUUUACUUUAAAAGAAUCUAUGAGAAAAUAUAGUUAAUGUUUCUACAUUCAACGGAUUCACAAUGACCAAUUAAUUUAAUUCCAUUUUCAAACUUCAAUUAAUUAAUUAAUUAAUUAAUUAAUUAAUAAUUUAAAAAACCAUAAAUUAAUUCUCAGGUUAUUUUCAUACUUAGUGAGAAAACCACAUUUAUUUUCGAAUGUUUCUCAUUUCUCUAACUUUACCAUUUCUAUCCAUUUUUGUUCAUUUGAUUCAACAUGCAAUUCAUUUCUGGUUUCGAUGAGUUAGUGGAGGGACCGAUUGGACAUAUGAGAUUAAGGCUCAAAUAAUUUAUAAUUAAGUUCCAUCUUUUCGCCUAUUAAUUAUAAACUCAUUUAGUCACGAAGUCAUUCUACUAUAGUAUUAUGACUAAGCUCUCCCUAAUGGCAUACCAUUACGAAAUCAACUCAAUCAAUGCUCAUCCAAUGACCUUGUCAUAAAUGUGUUACCCUCAUAGAAUAUCCUUAAUCUCUUUGGGAUAAAUUCACUCUCCCAAUAUGAUCCUAUUUUAUCUCAUGAUAAUCAUUACAACUUCCUUCAUAAAAAGUCAAUUAUUAUCAAAUAAUAAUUAAUUCAUUCAUCAUAAAGACAAAUGACCUGUGAUCACAUUUACUUUUCAUCUAUCAUGUAAUGCCAAUGAAAGAAUAUCAUUUUCCCAUGUCUUGAGCUAUGAAUUCCAUUGUUGUGAAUGAUGCUAUAUACUAUGGAAGUCGUAUACCCAACGUACCAGCUUUCGGUUCCUUAUCAAUUUGAACUCAGACUUUUACUUUCAUCAAAGUAUAUGAGUUACACAUAUAUAGUCCAUCAUCCAUUCAGGAUUCAGGUAUGUUGCACUAUGAACGUCAUAAGUGAAUAAAUCCAUAAAUGGAUCCAUGAUCUAUUCUGCUUGGGUCCAGUUCGAUGUACUGUUAGUCCGGUCAGUUGCAUCUAUAUCUCUAUCUUCUGGAAGUCAUACGCUCUGAUGCCUAAGAUAAAGUAUCUCCCGAAUUGGACUUGAUAGACAACAUAUUAGUUUUUCAAUUGGUUUGCUCAUUUCUGAUUAGACUAAGAGUAUCUUCUCAAUUGGACUUAUAGACAAUAUAUUAGUCUUUCAAUUGGUUUGCUCAUUUCUGAUUAGACUAAGGACACGUUUAGAUUUGUCUACUAAUAUAAGUUUUCUUUUCGUAUUAUAAUCCAACCAUGUAAUACCGCUUAAUAUUAGUUAAACAUUAGACAACAAAUAAGCUAAUAUUUGCUUUUAUUUUGCUUUACAUACAAAAAUCACGUGCGAAAAAUAUACAAAUAAUAUUAAUUGCAAUGUGUAAUGUUAUCUAUAGAAUUCAGUCGCAAGUUCUUGCUAAUAGAUUGAAUGUUAUUUUUCCGGGUAUUAUUUCAAAGAUGUAAUUUAAUUUUGUACCAGGCCAUGUUCUCACUGAUAAUUUUAUGGUGGCAUUUGACCUUAUUCAUCAUAUGAAAAAUAAAAGCAAACGUAAUGUGGGUGAACUUACGCUGAAGCUUGAUAUUAGCAAAGCUUAAAUGACAAAGUUGAUUGGCAUUUUCUGGAAUUUAUUCAGGUUAAGAUGGUUUCGAGGCCAAUUGGGUGAAAUGGUUGAUGCUCUCUAUUACUUUUGUUCAGUACUCAACUGCGUUUAAUGGAAGGGAGGUCGGUCCAAUUAUACCUCAUAGGGGUCUUCGACUAGUGGACCUUAUCUCCUUAUUCGUAUCUUAUCUGUAGGGACGGGCUUAGCUUCCUUCUACGUCGAGCAAAAGCUUGGGGAGAUAUUCAUGGGCAUUCUAUUUGUCGGGGUGGCCCGAGCAUUUGUCAUUUUCUUUUCGCCAAUGACAACUUUUUAUUUUUUCAGGCUAAGGAGAUGGAGGUUCUUAUGAUUAAACGUAUCUUGUGUUGGUAUGAGGAUGAGUCAGGGCAAUCGAUAAAAUUUCACAAAUCUGGUGUUAUGUUUAGCACCAAUAUAUCCAAAGGGGUAAACUCAACUAUUUGCUCUAUUUUAGGAGUGUUUAAUCCUAUGAACCAUGGACGUUAUCUUGGGUUGCCGUCUUUAAUUUGUAAGAAUAAGAAACAAGCUUUCUCUUAUGUCUAGGAGAGACUCUGUAGUUUCUUGGUUUUUAGUAUGAGUGUGUUCCAACUUUCGGAUGCCAUGUGUGUGGCCUUGCAGAGGAUGAUGAACUACUUUUGUUGGGGUUUGGAUGGGGGAACGGAAGGAAAAUUCAUUGGGCUUCGUGGGGCAGGCUAUGUGCCCCUAAGAAAUUUGGUGGCAUGGGUUGUUGUGAUUUACAUUGUUUUAAUCUUGCCUUCCUUGGUAAACAGGCAACUUGCUUUAUUACAAAUCCGAACGCUUUGUCAAGUCGGUAUUUCAAGGCUAAAUAUUUUUCGACUUGGGAUUUUUUGGAUGCUUAGCUUGUACAUUUGCAGAAGCAUGUUUGCGGCUACCGGCCUCCUUUCAAAAGGUAUGAGGUGGAGGGUUGGAGGCGGAACGUUGAUCUCGAUUUCAAUGAUUCUUGGAUUUGUGAUGAUCAAAGUUAUUAUGUUGAUUCUCUUCCCUUACUAAGUAUGGAAUCGCUAAAGGUAUAUGAGUUGUUAGACACUAUGGGGACCGAUUUGGAUGAUGGUUUUAUACAAGGUAUUUUCCCCCUUCCGAUGCAAUGCAAAUUUUGAAGCUACUGGUGAUUCAUGCAAAGCCAACUGAUGGGUUGAUAUGGGAUUUUAGUCCGGAUAGGCGAUACACUGCGAAGACGGGUUACAAAGUCACAUCUGAUUCUUUUUCGAUGAUUUCUCAGUUUUCAAUUAAUAGUACUUGGUUCGCUUUAUGAACAACUAUAUUCCUCCAAAGGUGUGUUUUUCCCUUUGGCGUUGUAGGAGAAAUUUCACUCCAUAUAAGUCUCGUUUGCUUAUCGGGGGCUGAAUAUUCUGCCAAAUUGCUCAUGUUGUGGCUCGACUGAAACUCUUGAAUAUGCGGUGUUUUGAGUGUGUUAAGGCAAGGGAGGUGUGGCAUUUGGCCGGCUUAUCUUUACCCAAUUCCUCUUGUGCCGUUUUUGUUGCGGAAGGUGCAAGUAUGUCGGAUGUGGGCCAACAAAACCACAUGUUUGUGCUGCUGUGGUUUUUAUGGUUUUAUCGAAAUCUAUUUACUUGGCAGAAUCGUGAUGUACCUUCUUCACAUAUAGUGUAUGUUGCUGCUGUGUUUUUGUAGAAUUAGGAGGCGAGGGGCAUUAAUGAAAGGGUGCAAAGGGGAUUGUCGGCGUCUGGUGGUUCACGGGGUGGUCGAUGGGUAGCUUCUUGUCAAGAUCGAAUCAAGUGCAACGUGGAAGCUGCCUUGUUUUAGGAAUCUCGGUAGUCGACUUUUGCUACUAUUCUAAGAGAUUUUAAGGGCAAUUUUCUCAAGGCUUAUUCUGGCUACGCAAACCUUGCUAUGGCACCACAUAUGGCUAAAACGUAUGCUAUUAGAAAAGCAUUUUCGUUGCUGAAAUCAGAGAAUUAUGAUGGGAUUGUUAUAGAAUCGGAUUGUUGGCAAGUGGUACAUUCUUUGAAUAAUUCAAUUGAUGAUACCUCUGAAUUUGGCUUAUUAUUAUGAAUUUUCAAAAUGUUGCAUAUCAAUUUCAACAUUUGUCCUUUUCUGGAUUCGCAGGAAACAAAGUCGCUCACUCUUAAAGCUCGGGUAGCUUUAUUAUAUGCGAACCACAAUGAAUGGCAUAGACCAUAUAUCAGCGUUUCUUAUUUGCUUGAAUCUGACGCUCUUUUUGUUAAUUCCAUUGAUAGUGAUCGGCGUAGGUUUGGGUGCCCGAUGGCUUAGGUUAAAUGGCCCUCCUAUCUUGGUUUUCGAUGUUUCUUUGCUUUUAAUUAGGAAUAAAUAUUAAAAUUAUACAUGAACUUUAAUUUUAUAUAUUUUUAUAUAUGAAUUUUUUAUUUGAUUUAAAUUUCAUAAAUUGCUAACAACAUUAUCGAAUUAGCACAAUUUUAUGUUGAUAUAUUGCAUACACAAACAACUAACUUAUCCGGUAUAAAAAUAAAUGUAUGUAUCUAAUUCUUUAAAUGCGCACAAUUGAAUCAAAAUUAAAGUCUUAUGUAUACAUAAGAACCACAAUUCAAGUUUUAUGUAUAUAAUUGUACUAAAUCAAAGUUCAUGUAUCAAAUUACACAUUAGACCAAAAUUCAUGUUUAAAUUUAAUACUUAUCCCUUUUAAUUAAUAUAUAUGACUUUUUUUUUCUUAAAAAAAUAUUGUGUUACAAUUAGCUUCGCAAAUAAGUAAAAGUGUAGUUAAAAAAUUAUUUUAGGAGAUCAAAAAUAAAUAAUUUUUUUAUUUCAUGGUUAUAUUAAUUUAUGGUUUUCUAAAAAUUAAAGGAGUUAUAUAAAAAAAAUUCUAGUUUGAAACAAAGGUCACUACUUGCACCCCUCGUGGCACCUUUGAACAAGUUUUAGAAAGUAACUAUUUGGGUCGAUUGAUUUUUAACUCGAUUAGAAUUGAAAUUAUUUUUAGUGUAGGACGAUGUGGGUUCGAGUGCGUUGAAACGCAUUAUCCUCCUAUUCAAGGGUUGAAGAGGGACUAAAUUUUAAGUAUUAUAUUAAAAAGAACAUAUAUAUAUAUAUCACAACAACCUAUAAUAAAAUUAGUGUUAAAAAGAAAAGAAGGUAGCUAUUUGGGUCAUGAAAACAGUAGGAAAAAAGAAAAGAAUGCAAGUAGUGUUGUAAGGAUUAGUUUGCUUAAUGAUGGCGAGAAAUGAUAGUUUGCAAAGUGAACCAUACAUGGUUAUUAUGGUGGUGCCCUGCAUGCAUUUACUACACUUGAAAUUAGAGAUGUGCCCUUCCUUUCUAGACCCACUAUAUCGAGUGAUCCAUACAAAUUUUAGAUUUUUGAACUAUAAGCAAUUCAAAGUUUUUUAGUAUUUUUUUAAAAAUUGGAAUUUAGUCUCUUUACUUUUAUUUUCGAAAAUUAAUCCACUACUUUUUAAAUUUUAAAAUUCAUAUUCAUUCGUUUAACACUAUUAAAGUUUGUUUGUUAAAUUUGUUGCUGACAUUUUGCAAUAAAAAAAAUACUCACUUGGUAGCCAUGUAAUUAAAGAAAAUGAUAUUGUAUUGAACUUGAAUUUAAUAAAAAAAAUUAACAUUGUUAAUAGUUGGACUUGAAUUUUGAAAUUUGAGAAAGUAUAGGGACUAAAAUUUUAGAAAUAAAAGUAGGGACUAAAUUCCAAAUUUCUAAGAAUACAUGGACUUAUAAUAUAUUCUAAUCUUUUUUUUAUAGAAGCAUGGGGAUUGAAUUGAUUAAAUUAAAAAAAAAAUCAAAAUGAUUCAAAUUGCAUAACUUGAUGUUGCAAUUUAUAUUUAUGGUUGUUGAUACACAAUAUCAACGGAAGUGAAAAAUGGGAGACAAAAUGGUCUUGAAGAAGGUUGAGAGCAGGGAGGAAGAAACUUUCCCGGGAAGAAGAAGAUAAAGAAGUAGUCUGUCUGGACUCUUCCUCAAAUGGAAUGUUUGGGGCAAUUUAAACCAUGGAUAUUUUGGGUUGGAUAAUCAGGUCGGAUCCUGAGUCGAGUUAUUAUAUAUUUUAUUAUAAUUGUAUAACAAUUUGUCCCCCACCUGGUCGAAGAAGAGUUAUCAAGGAACUCUUCUAAAACAGACUUACUUGUGUGAAACAUGUAAUUGAGGGCUUACUCUGUAAGUUUUAACUUGAAUUAAUGAGUAAAAUAUAUUGUUCAAUAGUGUGAUACAAGAGUCAAAAGGUUAUUACAGAAUAACACGAACAGUAUUUUACAUAAAUAAAGAGAAUUUUUUAUUUUUUAUUUUUAGAUUGAUGUUUGGAGAAAGCUCAAAUUUCAACAAUGUACUUAAGCUUAUAAAUUAAUCAUAUUAUUUUUUUUUCUUUUAUCAUGCUUUGUAUGAGUUUACUUUUUAUACUAUUUUAAGAGCACACUCUCUUGUAUCGAUUUAUUACAUUCAUGAUUUUAUUUUCCAACUAUUUCCCACAAAAUAAAAAACAAUAAACUUCUGUUUUUGGUGAUUGAAAAGAAAUCCUUGGGAGUUAACAAGUGCAAUCUUAACAUUGUAUGAAUGAUAAAUAUCGAUCAACGAUAACUUUGGAUCUUAUUCAUAUAUGUUUUUGGUACUUCCCUACGCUGUAUCAUCGCGUUUUUCCUUAACCAUAAAUAAUUGAUCUUUCUUCUAAUAUUUUUGGUGAUUUUGUGAAAAUUGCAUUAAAGGUGCCUAAUUAUGUAAUAUUGGUGGGUUGGUUGCCCAACUUUUUGCACUAUAUUUUUGGAUACCUUUUCCCAUACUUUUGAUUUAGUUUCAACUAAUCGAACUCCCCCCUACCCCUACUCCUACACAAAAAAGAUCCAUUAAUUCUUUUUUUUUUACAAGUGAGAGAAAAGAAAAUAGGAGACAUGAUCAUUUUCCAUAAUAAUGCAUAAAAACCAGUCUGAUAAGUUAUAAAAUUAACGUAUUUUAAUCUCAUUCUUAAUACGUUUCUGGAUGAUUAAUUAUGCAAAUUAGUGAAUUUGAUACUCUUGAUCCUUUAAAUUCAUGCUUCUAUAGUUAAGAGAGCAUUUGAGAGCGAAAUGAGCGAAAAAUGAGCCAAAUCGGACAAAUAGAGUUGUUUUCAGGAGCCACAUGAGCUGGACACACGCCCAUGCGCCAGCUCGUGUCGAUUUCGCACCCUGCUUCCCAAAUACGUGAAAAAACACAAUUUUUGGGCUUUCUGAGCAUUCUAAAGUCUAUAAAUACCAAUUAGAAGAAGACAUAAGGAGGUCAUCAGAGAAGAUCGAACAAAACACUCGAAGAACACCAUCGGAGUCAACUCAGAAGCGGAUCUCCAUCAAGAUUGAAGAUCUCCUUUUAAUUUCUUUCGAAGUUUUUAUGAGUUUCUUUAUGUCUUGUGGUUAUGCUAACUGAGUUCCCUAGAUAUCUAGGAAGGAUGAAACCUAUGACAAAUUCUAUUAUUUAAUUUUUGAUCUACAUGAUAAAUACUUGAUUCUUGUUCUCAAUUAUGUGUGCUUAUUUCUUGUUUUAAUAUUUUUGGGAUAUUAAUUCAUGUUUAAUGUGCUUAAUUUAGUGGAGCAAAAGUACAUUGUUAAGAGUAGAUCUAGCAUAAUUGAUUGGAGUUGCAUGUAAUCUUAGAAAUAGGACGACAUAAAUCUAUCAUAUUGGAAUAAAAUAUAAUAGGGGAAUCCAUAGAUCGAGUUAAUGCGGCAAUAAGGGUUUUAAUUAGAAAGAUAUUUCAAUUAAGCAACCUAGAGUCAAUUGUUUUUACUCUCGAAAGAGAUAUUAACAUAAUUUAGGAAUUUCUAUGGAUCAAGACAUUGAGUGAAUAAAUUGUUUAAAUCAGAUUAAUAAUAAUAGAAAGAGUCUAUGUGGAUUCUUUCCUAGGUAUUGUCUUUCUCAUUGGUUAUCUUUCAAAUAUUUUCCUCUUUCAUUCUCUAUUGUGUUCUUAGUUAAAUUAGUUUAGUAAUUUUAGAUUAAAACUCAUCACUCCAAAUUGUUGACUAAAUAAUAAGAAAACUGUAAUAACUAAUAAUUUCAGUCCUCGUGGAUACGAUAUCUUUACUCACCAUAACUAUACUAUUGUUCGAUAGAUGCACUUGCUUUUGUCGUAUUUAUAGUUAAUUUUGUGACCAUCACAGUCCUUCCAAAUUUGAAUGAUUAGAGAAGAGAAAAUGAGAGAUAAGUGUAUGUUAGUUCAAAAUUAUGCAUUUUUUAAAUGUUUUAUUUUCUUUCCUUUCAUUUUUCAUCUCUUCCAAGCACACCUAUGGAAAUAAAAAAUAUAUAUCUUUUCCAUCUUUAUAUUUUUCUACCCUUUCAAAUUUUCAGCUUUCCAAUUUCCAUUCCACUCUACCAAGCAAAGUGUAAAAAGAUGGCGCUUUCAUUAUAUAUAAUGCCUACUUCUAUUCAUAAUCUCCACCCAACUCUUAAACAGGAGAAAAAAUAUGCUUAAAUGCACUCGAACCCACAUCCUCUUGGUUGUUGCAAUAGCAACGAUGUCAACUGAGCUAAGGCUUAAUCAUCUUUGGCUUUUAAAGAUAGCAUUCAAGUUUUAUGAUCCCAGUAUCUACAUAUUUUCAUUAUUUCAAACAAAUAUUUUUAAAAAAUAUUUCAAUUCAUUACAACUUAUUUUCACAAUAAUGCCUAUAAAUACUUAAUUUUAUCCAAAUCAAUCCCUAAUCUUGAAUUGGACACGAUACCUAAAUUUUCUCUAUGUUUUGAAUUUCUAGCUCAUUUUUUUACUUAUGCCUUAUUUUAGGUUGAAAAUUUUUUUAGGCAUUGAUGAAGCCUAACAACUUUUUUUUUUAUUUGAAAAGUAAAUCUUGAUAGUUUAUUAAUAGCAUGGAAAAACAAUAUAGAAGAGAAAGCAAUACCAAAAAUAAAGAUCAUACCUCUUGAAGCAAAAUAUACCUAAAAAAUAAAAGACGGCAAGAAAACAUUGAAAUUGGUUGUCAGUUUCCACAUUAAGUUGCAACUGAAUAAACAACUCUAAAAGUAAAAAUAGAGAUAGCAAAAAAAAUUGGUUAAGCAAUUUGCAAGGCAUUGCUCAAAGAGUUAUCCAGUAUCUUUCUACGGUACAAUAUAUGAUUUAAGUUCAACUCAUUCACCAAGUUGCAACUUCACUCUAGCACAUUAAUUUGAGAUCACUCUCCCCACUAAUAUUUUCCCCUUAAAAGCUUAGAUACAAAUUGAAUAUGAGCACAAUUUGUUUAUAAAGUAAUUUCACUAAGAACAAGCUCCUAACAAUAAAUAGAUGAGUAUUAUCUCGCUCAAACAAGCCUUGUUUAAAUAGACAUAUUGGUUUGCAAUUCUUCAAUCAAUGUUAAUGUGUACUCCCUUAAUUUGUCCUUGAAUAAGUAUUUAUAAGGAAUUGAAUAUCCAGAGACCUUCAAGGAAUGAACUUCUAUAGAAAUUGGAUCUCUUUAUUUAACGUAACACAAUCACACAUAAAUUAUUCAAAAAGAAUCCUUACUUGAUCGAUAUUCAGUAUGAUCUAAUCCAUUAAAUUGUUACUUAAAAACCUUUAAGAGAUAUAAGAAUGAAACCAAUAUUUUUUUAUCAAACGAAUGCUAAGAAAUAUUGCAAUUUGCACAACAACCUAGUUGCAAAGCGAGUUGCAACUAGCAUUGCCUGUAGGAUGUGAAACUUGUUAGGAUUUGUGCCUCGAGUCUAGUUAAUUUUGUUAUUACCUAUAUGUAAUUUUUUAAAUUGGUUGAAUAAAUAGAAACUACCACAUGUUUAUUUAAUAUUCUUUGCAUAGUUGUCCUCAAUAGUUUUUGUAUAUUAAGAAAAAUAAAUAAGCAAAUAUUGGCAUACUGAUUACUUAAGUUUUAACUACUAUUAAGUUGCACUAUAUGGUCAAAUUAUAAUGUGAUAAGAUAGAUUAUGUUUGUAGGUAAUCUAAAUUGUCUAUAGUUCAUGGAGCCAGAUUGAGAAAAUAACUUAUGUUAGGACUAUUAUGUCAUCUAUAAGUCCAAUUGAGGAUAUAACUUAUCUUGGCUAUCGAAGCUAGAUUGACUCCCAAAAAUAAAGAGAUAGAUGUGGUUGCUUGGACAAAUGAUACAUCAAAUAAGACCCAAGUUGAAUUUAUCCUAGACCUGUUUAUGGGUUUAUUCACUUGUGAUAUUCAUAGUGUGACUUACCUAAAUCCGAAGCUAGUGAAUGACCAUGUAUUUAUGGCUCAUGUACUUCCAUAUAUUAAAAGCCUCUGCCUUUAAAGUAGUGGGCCAAAUUUUGGUAUGUUAGCACAUGACUUAUACAUGACAUGACUUCACACACACAGAGGAAUUAUAGCUCAAUUAAAAGGGUAAAUGGUAUCCUUUCAUUGGCACUAUAUGGAUUAUUAAAAUGGAACAUAGUCAUUAGCAAGUUGUCUUGGAAAAAUGAUUUAAACAUUAUUGGUAUAGGUAGUGAUUAUUUUUAUUGUGGAAGAUACAAUGGUGACCAUGAUAUAAAAUGGAUCAAAUUAGGUGAACGAAUUUAACCUAAAGGGAUCAUGGAUAUGUGUUAGCUUUGAUCCCAAGCUUUUUCUAUAACAAUAUUUAAGAUAAUUUAUAUUAGUAAGUCAUUUAAUGAUUAAACAUUUUCAAAGACUUGCAAAUAAUUAGAAUCAUGUUCUAAAUAUGUUUCACAAUGUCCAAAAGUUUUUUGAGUUAAUACCAAAGUGCUUAACAUGUUUUUAAGGAAUUUUGAUAGCUAAGUCUCAAUACUCAACAUUGCAAGUAUUGUGAGUAGCAAAUUCAAAAGCCUCAGAACUCAUCUAGAAGGCCAAGUAUUGAGACUUAACUUGCAAGUUUCAAUAAUUGCCUUAAAAGUUUUGAGACUUG